UCAAUUGUAGUGUAAACACUAAAAAUCUUGCUUCUUCUUUUAUUGGAAAGAACAAUGCAUUCGCUUUGCCUCUUUAUUAAUUGAUAUUAAUAUUAAUUCAUGAUCGCCGCGAAGCGGCCGCGCUUGCGACUCGGCGUCGAUCGCUAAUAAAGUUUCCUCGCACGGAAUUGGUAAACGCUCGAAACUUCACGAGGAUGGAAAAUGAAAUUACCGCGGUGGCGAUUGAUACAAGCUCGUUCGCUGUCGAUCCCGUCGUGUCGAGAAUCGAACGCGAUCGAGGCCAAAAGGAGGAGAGCGCGGGCGAGGUAUCGCGAGCGCGGCGAAUCGCGACCCUGUCUCGUUACCUUAGAAUAAUAAAUAUUAUAGUGCAAUAUCUAAAAAAUCUGUCUUUUUUAUGCAACUUAUACAUUCAAAUACAGUGUACUUGAAAAAUUUACAAUCGUUAUUGCCCUUACAAACAUUAAAUCCCUAUUCGAGCGUUGGUAAAUCCGCGAUCCCUCUCUCUGACCGCUAAAAAAGAAUGUUUGAUUUGAAGAUCAGUGUGAGUGCGUGUGAGAAUCAAAAAAGAGGUGCAGCUGCUGCUGUAAGGAUGCGAAAACCUUCGUGUUCUUUGUUAAUGUAUACAUAUAUAUAUAUACAUAUAUGUAUAUGCGUGUGUACGCGUGCAUGAGAGUACUGUUCGAAACGAGUGUACCUCGUGGUUCUCUGCGUCACGCGCGAUCGCUCGUGGUUCAAUUAUCUCGAUCGUGCGCCGUACGAGAUAUAUAUCUUGAAACGAUAAUUUUUCAUUACAUUUUUCCCCCCUCCCUGUUCCUUCGAUAUUUCUCGCCAAUGUUUCGGCACUUUUUGGUCGUGGAUACCUGUGCGGGCUACAUAUCCCUGUAUACGAUACAUAAUAUACAUAUUAUAUGUAUACGUUAUAAUACGUGUAUUAUAUAUUUCGUAAUUAUAUCUGUCGGAACGAAUAAUUCAUCGCUCGGAAGCCUUAACGGACACUCAAGUAACAUUGACGAUAAAUUACAAUGCGCGUGUGUAUGUGUUUUUUUUGCUUGUCCCUACGCGUGUAUGUGUAUGUGUGUAUGGGUGCGUGUUUGCACAUUUUAUAUACACGUACAAUUCGCUGGAUAUCCUGACAUCAACCGAACAUGAAAGUGGAACGGUAAACGCAAAUAGAGAGUCGCGCGCGCGGAAUCGUCGACUCUCGACCGCUUUUGCGCCGCCGCGCGUACAGAAGCGCAACAAAAUGAGUUCGUGUACGUGCAACGAUAUGUUCAUCGUUCAACACGAAUCCUGUCUCCCGUUUCGAAGAAGGGGAUCGAACGAAACGUUCGCCGAUGCAAAACGAAAUACGUCUCGUCGCGCGAAUGGGUUAGCUCGUCACGCGCGGUUAAGCGCAAACAAAUCGACACCGGUUUCGCGAACUGUUUGGCAAGAAUGGAAAACAUUCUCCGUAGUGGCGGAGAGGGAAUUUUUGAGCAAUAAAAGCUUAUUACAAAGAAAGAAGAAAACAAAAUAAGAGGACGCCGAUCAUCGUAACGGUUUCCACUGUAUUUUCCAUUAUACUACGCGUACGCAACAUAGGUGGAACGAACACAGCGAGAUUAGAAAAACUGCAGCGAAGACGUCAAUGCAGUUUCUAUGUUCGUUUCGCCAACUAUUUACCGUUUACUUUGUUUAUCAAAAAGAUAGUCGUUUCAAAUGAGCCUGGGAUUAUUCCGAUGAUUUAAUAUUUAGAUAUUUUUUAGGUAUUCGUAUGCUACUGAUAUACUUCGAAUAUUACUAUUUGAACAUCUUUAUUCAAGUAUCGUUAUUCAAAUAGAGAUUAAAUAAGUCUUUUUCCACGAAAAAAUUAACGGAAUUCGUGUUACAAAUAUUCCAGCAAGAGAAAAUGUAAGCACAUAAAUUUUUUUUUCUCAAAACAAAGAUGUUGCAAAGAACAGUGUUUCUCUUCGUUUGAUUUUUUAAUUUAAAACAACGUAUAAGAAGUUCAAAUUAAAUAAGAAUUUAAAACAUAUAGAGUUUAUUAUAAAACAGUCUCUAAAUAUAUUUCGAAGUAAUUUAUUCUGUUCUAAGGGGUGUACAAGAAGCUUUCAGAAACACUGUUAUAGAAUGGCGUUAAUAAAACAUCUUAAACAAAAGUAAAGUUUAAAAUAGACAGACAGAUUUUAAAAACUUGAUUUAUGGUCUACGCUGUUCGAAUAUUACGAAUAUUUUAAUAUUUGAUCAGUGUAUUUGUGUACUUGGUUAUUCGAAUUAUAUUCGCCGAAUAUUUGAAUCUCUGAAGCGUUUGAAUACAAAAAUAUUCGACUAAUCUCAGGUCUAGAUCGUUUUGUGAUCACCGUACGAUGAUUCAUCGUCCUCCCACGUAUAGCAACUAAUCAACAACUUAUCGAUUUACGUAAAAAGUAUCGACGGUACCGAUACAUAACAAAUAGAUUGCCGUGAAAAGAUUCGUUUUCGCGAGAUGAAAACACACAUCGACAGUCGUACCAAUAACGCUGACCAAUGAUCGUAAACGCUUAACAUUUUUCACCUUUCUAUCGACGUUCCAUAGCACGUCGCUAUACAUCCGCGGGAACGAUCUCCAAUGAUUAUCACAAUAAACAUUCGCUACGUCCACGGAGUAAAUUUCGACGAUGAACGGAUACUGAAACGUUGCACACGUGAUCGAAUGGAGCGCCGCUGCGAUGAGGAUCAAGAAAACGACGACGAGUGGGGGAGAGAAGCACGCGGCUGUGAUCGAGUUCCGUGAAAAAACGCUACUAUAGCAAUAAUGAACCGACGAUGUCCUUUCGAAAGAGUCUGGCCGUUCGUUAUUCCCGUUUCGACGUAGUUUCGACCGCGGUGCGCGAUCUGUACUGGCUGUCAGAUAACGGGGCGAUGCGGUAGCGGUAUCGAUGGCGAUUACAGCUGCAGUCGGUAGCGGCGAAUAGCAACGUUAGUAGCGGUAACUGGCGAUACGAAUAAUCUAGGUCUCUGGGACGUACACUCGGUGGAAGAAACGCAACCAUCGCGUAAAAAUUGCAAACCACCGAGACAACUCGAUGUAGGCUCAUCGUUUAACGUUAUAACGCUAGCUGCUCUCCCAGAGAAUCGUUGCAUUUGUUUCACCGACUGCACCGUGUCUCGUGGAAAGUGGGGGAGAGCUCCCAGGGGCCACGACGAUCAGGCGACUUCGGGAGGGCCCGUAAUCACCUGGAACAAGAUGAGCGCAACGUCCAUGGCUCCGGGGGGUUAGAGAUCGAAGGGUACAGAGCUCGGUGCACGGCGGUCCACGAUCGACGUAGUCUCGUACCAAGGAUCGUGGAUCGCCGUACACGCCAGAAAUUCGUACUCGUGGGUAAAAACGUCGAAAGUUGAGAAGGGACCUGGUGCUAACUAGAGUCUGAUAUGUAGACUGACUUUGGGCCAGGGGUGGUUACCUGCGUGUCAUUCACGGGUCUAUACGAGUUUGUCGGCUAUCGUGACGACCGGCGUGUCGAUCGAUCACGGUCGAUCGCGACAUUGGUCUUGGGAGAAAGAUCAACGCUCGGCUGCCGGGCGUCGCUGAAUCCGCGCGGCAUCGCGCUAUCAAACGAACAACUUUAAAGAUAUGUAACGUCGACUACAAGGUAUAGUGUAUUUUUUCUCUCUCCCUCUUUCUGUACCUAUCUAUUUAUUAUAUAUAUAUAUAUAUUUCUUGUAUAUAUAUAUGUAUCUCUCUCUCUCACUCACGCAGUCUCUAGGUUAAAGCACUCUCACGCCGGCUGAGACGAUCACAUGUGAACAUUCGCAAGCCUGUUCUACAUGCACUGAUGACGUAGAAUACAGCUAUAUAUAAAUUAUAUCUCUUAUACGCUUACAGUAAUUGUAUAUCGUUUAUAUAUACACAUAUGUCCGUACGUAUGUAUACGUAUGUACAACGCCACGCAUAGAACACGUCGUCCAAGAAACCGUGCUCCCGAGUCGCGUGCAAUUUCAUUCACCGUACGCGCGCAGCUCCACAAGUUUAAUAACUGGUUUGUGUCAUCCUUCUAUUGUCUUCUUUCAAACAGUACCCGAUGACCUAGCCACGACAUAAAGCCUAGACGAUCGUCCAAUCGCCUUUAUCUUCGCCAUUCGGUCCUCGGGUCAUUAUCUCAGGGAUCUUAUUAAACUUGUUCAGCCUAUGCUCGUUCAUCUCGGUCCCGUUUCUUUUCAUCGUAUACAGGGAAAAUUGUUCGCGACGGUCAACGGUCUCGAGGACGCCAAGAGCACACGCGCGACGCCGUAUGCACCGUCGACCCAUUAACAGGCGUCUCGUAUCAUUUUCCCAGCCAUGCUUGCUCGCGUUAUCGUCCAAUUUCUAAGAAAGGCUCGUUCGAUCGAUUUCUCUUCGACGGAUGCGCAUCGCCUGCCCGUUUCUUUCUUUCGCUACACGAAAAGGUUUUACAAAACGUUACCCUGGAGUAUCAUCGACCGAUCGCGGGACCACUUCUCCUCCAACUUCAUUAUAAAUAAACGUAACUCUUACUUGCUUUAAAAGUAAUCGUAUUAAGGGCCAGAUUACAAAAGAGCUGAAUCUCGUUUUUGUAUUACUAUGUAUUAUUUUAAUAAAAUGCUCGAGAACACAUUUCUAAUGAAAAAUGAAGGUUGCUAAAAUGUGUGAGGAUUCGAUCAGGUGCCCGCGAUAAUCGACUUUCAUGUCGAUACCGCGAUCAAGAACGGUACCCUAUUCAGUGCGCUGGCAGACCUCGCUCGAUUGCGUCUGCACGCGCGACACAGUUAUGCAGCCCUACGCGCACAUAUACAUACAUAUAUAUUCUUCGCAGCAACACGUUAUAAAAAGCGACGCUUCGCUCCUCAUACUCGACGAAACGUUUUGAAAGACGCAGUCGCGACGUUCCUCUACGCAUUUUUUUUCCCCCCCUCAUACAAUUACAUCUUUCUCUCUUUUUUUGUAAAAAUUUUUAUUCGCUUUUUUCUUUUAUUAUUUAUUAUUAUUAUUAUUAUUUCAUUAAGUUAAUUCUGUUCAUUGUUACAUUGCACUCUACGCUUGCUUUGUUUCUCUCCACUUUGUUCUCUCGCCUAUUUAGUAUUUCUUUCUCUCUCUCUCUCUCUCUCUCUUUACCUCUUUUUAACCGCGAUAAAAAUUUAAAAUACUCGUAUUACACGUAAGUAUUUAAGACCCUGUUUUCGUAAAGGCUUUUCAACAUAAGUCGUUAUCGGCCGAGGAAGAUAAAAAGGAAAGACGUCGGAGACGAAGAAGAGAAGGAACAGCCGAAGUAUACACACAUAGUUGUGACCGGAUCAGAUUUUGGUGCGGGUGCAUAAGGAAACGGGACGACCAUUUUUCUGUCACGUGCUUUUGUGUCCUGCGCGCGAAACAUCGACGGUUAUCGCGCGCCAACCGGAAGGGACCAAACGAAAGAACGCCGCGAGUAUGAUCAUACGCUCUGCGGAACGAUCCGCGGUAGUCGACCUCGUGUAAUUCAAUUUUAAAUGCAAUUUUCUACUCUUCCAGCACGACCAACAUGUAAACACGAUCUUUCGAUCGUGAUUCUCGAAAUUGUCAGAAUCGUCGUGCUCUACACCCGAACGUUCGUGAUAUGUUAUCGGAGACCCCUAACAAUUUCAACUGCAACGGAAGGUACUCUGGGCGUUGGGAAAAUAUGCAGUCCCCAUCGAUGGAGUCUCUUUGUCGUACCGGGGAGGUUCGCGAACCGACCAUUUUGGUCUCGAGUCUUUAAAAAAAUAGCUGCCGUCUACGGUCUACCUAAGAAAGGGGUUAAAUAUAGUAAUGCUUGUAAAUCGUACAAAAUACUCGUGGAAAUAAUUUUUUUUCGUUUUCACCGUGAUCGCCGUACUCUUCCGAUUCUUCGCGAUAUUUCUCAGUCAGGUUUGUACUCGAAUGGAGUUCGAUCAGCGCGUUUGAACUUAUAAAAGCGUCUAUCGAUCACUCACUCUUCCAGCCGUCAUAUUUAAACUUGUCUUUCUUCGUUAGCGCGAUGAUCCGCGCUUUUGUCUCUUUAAAAACGUGCAUCGCUAGCCUCGAGCUCCCAGUUGUUAUUGGUCCAAUUACAGCGUUUACUGUUGCCGUUAAAGCUUGAUAUGCAAUGGCGUACGACGAGCACUCGCGAUCCUAAGCUGCCGAUUUUUAAUCAGACUUUCAGUUCAGGGUCCUACCGCGGAUCGUCCGGCGACUCGCAACGCCGGAAGCACAUUCACCGUGUUCUCUGAGUCGAUCGUGAACAAUUUGCGUGCAACUACCGGAAGAACACGGAAUCGAAGAACAGAGGGGAAGACGUAAGGGGAUUGGAAAUCACAUCGAUGGGAGAAAAUACAUUUAGCUUGGUUUCUUUUUCGUAACGGAAGCGCGCUACCCCGUUAUCUUCGCUGGAUAACGCGUGACGACCUUUCGAAUGGAUCGCGAACGGCGACGCGAAUAAAACUGAAGCUCUGAACGUUCGUAAGGUCAGACUAAUUUUUAUAUAAUCCCUGUCUCUUGCGCCCGACAAGGGCACAUCGCUAAAUUUACGUACUAUUUGAACUGCCGUCGAAAACGUAAUUCCUUUUCUGUUCGUUCGCGAAGCCUGCAACGCCCGAAUUGCCCGCUCGAAUAGUUUGCAACGUUCUAUUUUGUAUCGCGUCGUCGGGGGGUCAACCUCUACCCUUCCCCCGUCCGCGUUCUAAACUCGGUUCUGCGGACGAAGCCGCGGGGUGACGUCAAUUUGGCACAGACGUCCGACUUUUCUUCCGGCCGUACCAGUCACGAAAAUUGGCAACAAAGCGGAUAAAACUCGAGGAACCUAAUUGAGGAUCCUCGGGGGCAAUCGACGAAGACCACUUGACCUUAUUACGGGCGGUUUUCAAGCCGCUUCGCGAGGAAUCGGCGGACUCCGCGGCGAGCACGACGAGAAAAUCGUAAGGAUCGACCGUGUCAAGUGUCUUUUGCUUCAACCUAGAAAGCAGACAUUUCGUACACGUUGCAAUCAAACGUUUCCUUCCGGUCGCUCUCGAUGCCGACUUUUCGCGACGCUCCUCGUCCAAGCUUCAUUGUUCCGCUUUCGCGCGAUACAGUCUAUGCGGUGAGAUCCGCUCCCACGGAUCCAGAAUAAUCUACAGGUGAACGAGAACGCGUUGGAUCGAGGGAUCCGGGUUUGAAAGCGCGGCAACGAGAGAGUCGAAAGCACGAACGAUCGACGGAACAGAGCAUCCCCCAUACUCGAAACAGCUGCAGCGGUGGAGGCGUAACGACGAUUUGGCACACGUGUUUAUUAUUCAGUCCGCGAAUUAUCUAAGCUUGGCACAAGGUUCGGCCGCACGCCGAACAAUUACCACGAUCCUCGUGUAUUAUCCUUUUUUUUUUAUUUUCUUUCCGUCUUUUCUCGUUCGUUUUGGCACACAUAAAGAAGAAAACAAUGAAAUACUCGCGCGCAUCCAUGCAUCUCUGCGACUCUAUUAUCCCGAGCGUACGUGUCACGCGUACUCGAAGUUCUCUUUAGCCCCUCGUAUUAUUAUCGUUUUCUUUGUAAGCACACGUUAUUUCUUCCAUUUCUAUCUCUCUCUCUCUUUCUCUCUCACACUCACGCUCUCAAUCGUUACAGAAAAAUAUGCCAUUGAGAAUCUUGGCCGGCCGCUCGAUCGCGUUCGACCCUUUGUUCCACGCGCCCUUCAGACGAGAGAUUGAAGGUCUUGCCCUUAAUACCGCGCCCCGUCGUAGUAGAGCGCGUGUUCAAUAUCCUAUAAAAACUAAGUUAUUUCUUAGCUGAUUGCCUUGCGUUACGGUAAGGUUGGGCACCCGACUAUGAUCCGUCACGAACGAGCGUUCUGCCGUCAUCGACCGCCAUUUCUCGAUACCAGAACCGACUAAUCGCACCUCUUCGAUUCCUUUUAUUCUUUCCGUACUAUCGAUCUUCCGAUAUUGAUAUUAAUACUGACGUCGGUUCUCGGGUUCACAGUUAAAGAACCUUAAGUUCCUUCGGUGUGUUCAACUCUGUGUAUUGUCGUUUCUGCUACGAAGGCAGGUUCAGUUUCAAAUGUGUGUGAUUAAUUACAACACUACACGUUACGAAUUAAAUAUAAAUUUAUAUCGAAAUGAAAUAUCAUUUGAAACUUUAUUUUUUUUAGUUUUUUUCUUCAUAUGUUUCUCGACCAUAGGGUAUUCAAAAUACCUAAUGCAAACCAUACGUUUAGAUCAUGAAACACUUUGGUACACCUUUUCUUUGCAAAUUUUGUCUCUGUUAGCAUGAUGUAGAAACUGAUUGAUAAUUGUUCCCGUACGAAUAUAUGUAUAUUGAGAUUGUUAAGCUACGAAUGUUAUUCUCCUAUGGAAACUAAAGUCGUCCACCUCGCGAUCGUGACGGAUCCUGGCCAGGACCCGCGCAGUAAGGAUAAGGCCCCUGCACUAACAGAUUGCUCUACGCCACAACGAUACGAUCGUGUUUUAAUCGACGUUGACGCGCGCAACGUCCUCGCUUUUCAAUAAACCUCGUUCGAGGGCAAAUGACGAGACAAAAUGGGGGAGGGUGGAACGAUCAGAUCGAUCGACGUUUCCAGUACGGCUACGGGGGAGCAAAAAAUGGUCGACACACGGAUACCAUUCUUCGUCUUCCUCGAAUCGAGCUACUCGUAGUUUGCGCUCGAACAUCGCUAGAGCUCGUAUGUUGUGUAUAUUCCGAUGUGAAAAAAGGCGGGAAGGGGUCGCGGAUACACGCGCGCUGUCGAUCGUCUCUACCGUGUACCCGUUCGAAGAUCAGGUUUACGUUUUCAACUUCGUGAACGAUCGUCGAAGUGAUCGAGAUUCUUUCAGGGUACAAAGGUCGUCAAAUGAGCCCUGGAUAACGUUGUACCGGAAUAUAUACCAGCGUACAAAGUUUCGUGUCCUUUCAAGUCCUGGAUCCAGAUCGUUUUAAGCACUGGAAGACUUUGUACCAGCGUGUAUAUCGGCGUACAAGGCUUCAGGUCGUUCAAAAUUGCUUUGUACCAGCAUCUACACUCGUACACGAAGUUUCUUUCGAAUUCUGGAUAAGGUUGCGCCACCGAAAGAAAGCUAUGGAGAUUCCAGAUUCCCGGGUACAAGCUACCCCGAAGCGUUUCUUUCUUUUCCAUUUCGCGACACGUCGCAUGUAUCGCACCCCUUUUCGUCAGCCGAUCCUUCUGACGCGGCUCCCUCUCACCGUUAAUACGAAAAUUACACUCGGUAGACGAUACCUUAGCGGCUACUAGACACUACGAAGACUCGACUGAUUGAAGGUAUCUACACGAUAGAGAUGUCCCGAAGAAGUAUACAAUUAAUCGAUCAUCUAUUUGAGAAUGACAAUACACGCCGAAUAAAUAUGAGCUUGCUUAUCGGAGCAAAAGAGAGGUUAAUUAUUCGUAGCCUAGUCAUAUGUGUCACUGGAUAUGCUUCUGGAGUAUAUCGGGACGCGACGAUGGUUUCUGGUCGCGCGGGAGGGGAAACAAAAGCGAGGGGGGUGGGUCGAGGGACGAAUACGGGGAAACCAUCGCGGGCCUCGGGGUACGAUGGGAUUGAAUUUGAUCGAAGCUCGGUGGACAGUGACAACAUUUCGCGAGCUCGAGAAUAUAGACACCCGCGACAACAGACGAGAAUAAACGAAAAAUGCUCGACACCGACCACCGUUCUCCAUGCGGGACACGGUCGAAAUCAAAGUUACCGGGAGAUUAUGGAGAUUCAGGGGUUAGUUCUUGAUCCGUUUCGUCCAUUUCGCCGCGACGAAACUGUGAUUCGCGCAGAAAGAUGUGACGGCGCUCUCCCCUGUCGAUUCACCAUUCAAUUCAAUUCACCUUUCGGUGCACCGGUAUGAACGAAAGUUUACAAGCGGUCACAGCACCGAAAGGGACACCGAGACAUUUUAAUCUUUUUUUUUUUUAGUCCAAGGUAGAUCUUAUUUUCUUCGUCCUUGAUUACUGAUCCAAGAUGGCGAGUCGAGCGAGGAGAGCACAAUGUGGUGUACGUGUGUGUGUGUGUUUGUGUUUAUCUACGUAAACGCGCGCGGCAAUCGCCUCCUGAUUGAUCUCCUUCAUCCUUGAAUCGAUCGAUCCGUUUCCACGGAUCUAUAGCAGACUCGCGUAAUGCCUCUCGACGAUCGAGGAGGAUUACACGCACGCGCGCACGUACUUGAUUCGCCGUUUGGGGAAAACGAAAACGAAAAGCUUCUUAAAUCUCCCCUGAACGCGUUCGCUUUUUAUUUGUUUUUUUUUCCUGUUUUUUGUUUCAUCGUUUCUCUCGAUCUCUGGCACACAGUGUCUUGUUUCUCUGUACGUCCGUCGUUUAACUUCCGUUCUUCUCAAUCUCUCUUGGCACACGCGCACAAACACACACACACACGGAUGCAUACAUGCAAUAUGUUCGCGGUACCGCGCAAACCACAUGCUUUUUUUUCCCUUCCUUUUCUCUUGCGAUGCGCCUUAAAAAUUGUCCUUAACUACUUACUAAUUAUCGAUUCUAAUCACAGCAAUUAUUUAUUGUUGAUAUACACAAUCAUACAGCGUCUCUCACUAAUUAUUUCGAUAUAACUUACGUGUGUGAGUGUGUGUUACUUUUUUGUAUUUUUUUUUUUUUGUUAUCAUAGCAGAGGCUAUAAACUUUUCUCGCUCGAACGACGAUGCCGUCGUUUAGUUGUCGGUGACCGUCGCACCGUCUACGUUCUCUUUUUUCUCUUUUCUAUUUUUACGUGUAUUUCUCGGUACAUCGUCAUCGUACGUUCGACGAUAUAUAGAGAACGGAGUGGAGGGUGGGAGUGGGGGGUGGGGGAUCAAAGGGCUGCGAAUGAAGAACGGGACGCCGAAGGGCGUUGAGAUGAUGGUUGAUGAUGAAGACGAAGAGGACAACGUGAAGAUCCUGCGGGUGGUGUUUGGGUGGGGGUGGGGGAGUGUGAUAGUUUUUUUAAGUCUUUUUUUCCUUUUGUUUCAUUUUUUUGGUUGGCCGUGGCUCUUGGAUAGGUGAGAAAAGAGACAAAUGCUUCGUCGAAUAAACACGCCAAUGCAUACAAUUUUUCAUCGUCGCAACCAUUAAAAAUUAUCAUAAAUAAUAACAGUACAAAUAAGUUAAUACUUAACUUAGCGUAUAUAUAUAAUAUAUAUAUAUAUAUGUAUAUAAAAAAACGAAUAUGUCUCUAUUUCGCUCAGUGUAUCUAGCAAUUCGUAAAAAAAAAACACACUAGAUAAUUAUACGUAUAUAUAGGAAUAGAAACGCAACGUUUCUACGUAUAUAAAUAUACUUCCAUUAUUUUUUUUUUUCUUUUUCUCGCGAAAUAGGCAUCGUCUUUCAUUUCGAUUGAAAGCUCAUCCGGGCAAAUUGACGAAGCAACCGAUUGCGUGAUAAAACGAUAAUUAAAAUUGCACGAUCGAGAAACGCGCGAUAAAUAGAUACGCGAAUGAAUGUUCGCUGAUCGACAAUGAGACGAUUUCACUCUAAAAAACAGAGAACAAAAAGAUCCGAGAUGAAUCAAUAAAUAUGUACAACGAGAAACGAUAUAUAUAUUUACAAGAUCGAAUCGCGUAAAAGAUUGCGAUAAUUUUGAGCGAACUUAACAAGACGAAGCGUCGAUCACAGUGGUGCUAUUGAGAUUGAACGUGACGCCAUAUUGCACGCUUCGUCUUAAAAAAAAAAAAAAUUAAGAAAGAAAAGAAACAGUAAUAAUAAAGUAA